CCUACGGGAGGCAGCAGUAGGGAAUCUUUCACAAUGGGCGAAAGCCUGAUGGAGCAACGCCGCGUGCAGGAUGAAGGCCUUCGGGGUGUAAACUGCUUUUAUAAGCGAGAAAUAUGAUGGUAACUUAUGAAUAAGGAUCGGCUAACUACGUGCCAGCAGCCGCGGUCAUACGUAGGAUCCGAGCAUUAUCCGGGGUGACUGGGUGUAAAGAGUUACGUAGGUGGCAUAAUAAGUAGCUAGUGAAAUCGGGUGGCUCAACCAUUCAGACUAUUAGCUAAACUGUUAAGCUCGAGACCGUUAGGGGUAACUGGAAUUUCUAGUGUAGGAGUGAAAUCCGUAGAUAUUAGAAAGAACACCGAUAGCGUAGGCAGGUUACUGGGACGGUUCUGACACUAAGGCACGAAAGCGUAGGGACCAAACGGGAUUGGAUACCCCGGUAGUC
rnacentral:rRNA from 1 species